rnacentral:lncRNA from 1 species
CCCUCUCCGCUCGUCCCUCGCCGCUGCCGGGCCACCAGUGCCAGCCUGCCUCAGGAGACUCCAUUUGCGCUUAGUGUGGUCUGGGCGCCGCGCAGGCGGUCCCAGGGCGAUGCCCGGGGCCGGCGGACUGGCGUUCCCUGUGCCAAGCGGCCGCCCGCUGGCUGGCUGGCUGCAGCAGUGACAUCCUGGUCGCCGGCGUCCAGGCGGAAUCCGGGCUCCCUCCGCGGGAGGAAAGACGUCCCGCGCUCUGAAGCUCGCCCAGCGGGGAGAGGCCCUCGCUAACACGGCUUCUCCCUGACCUCUUAAUUUCAGGAGGUUUCGGAGCCUCCGAGUAUCUCUACAGCCCCCACAGGAACUGCUUCUGUUGGUCCAUCGAGGAUCGUCUUUCACCAGGAUUAUUGUAACAUCAUCUUCACCGAGCCUGCCACCCCAUAGCCUCUACCUUGGGUCCUCAUUUCCACCGAUGCAGUUUUUUUGAUGCUUUCUUUAGUAAUGUGACAUCACAUGUCCACUAUCCUCCUUUCCAGCUGCCAAAUCUAGUAGGUUUAAGUCGCUUUUAAAGUAGAGUUUUCUGCCUGUUCCACUUUCACCUUAUUUGCACUGUUCACUUCUGUCCGGGUCAUCUUCUCUUGCGUAUGAUUUCCACAAGCACUCACUUGCGCAACCUAUAGCAGAGUCCGUGCCUAGAGAGACAGCAUUCCAUACAAUCCACUGCUUGACAAAGACCACAUAGUCAGAGGCAUUUUUUGUGAAAACCAAUACUGAGAAUAUAAGCAUACAUCUAAUUUGUGGAACCAGCAGAUGAACAGUAGACUAACAUAAAGUAGAACACGAAGAGAGGCAGUAGAGGAGUGCAGCUGCUGUGUGACCAUCGGCAAAUUACUUAACCCCCGCAUCUGUUAAAUACAAGUAAUACCUGCCUCAGAGUUUUGUGAGGUGUAAACGAGUUGACAUAUGGAUUUUAAAUAAUAGGGGCUUAUAAUAGGGCCUGGCACAGAAUAACAUUGAAUGUUAGCUGUUACUCCCAUUGUGGAUAUUGAGUUUCAGUAGUAUGCUAAACAGAUCCAAUGUGUUACUCAAAGUAGGGUUGCUGCAUUUGGAAAACCCUUCCAAGGAAGUGAGAUAAAAGAGAUACAAGUGGCCAGGCGCGGUGGCUCACGCCUGUAAUCCCAGCACUUUGGGAGGCCAAGGCAGGUGGAUCACUUGAGGUCAGGAGUUCAAGACCAGUCUGGCCAACAUGGUGAAACCCCGUCUCUACUAAAAACAGAAAAAAUUAGCGGGGCAUGGUGGCAUGCGCCUGUAAUGCCAGCUACUCAGGAGGCUGAGGCAGAAGAAUCACUUGAACCCAGGAGGCAGAGGUUGCAGUGAGCUGUGAUCACGCCACUGCACUCCAGCCUGAAACUCCGCCUCAGAAAGAAAAGAAAGAAAAAAAGAUACAAGUAAUUAGUUUCAGCAGAAAUGCAAUAAUGAUUUCUUUCAUUGAAAACUGAAGGGUUACUCUAAUUGAAAAAUCACUUACCACCCCCUGGUAGGCUUUGUGAUGUAUGCAGGCAUUUAAGAUAUCUUAGGUGGAGUUAUAACAGGAAAUGAGAAUGGAAUUGUAAUUUCUUUGGUCCAGUUCUGUUAGCACUUUGCUAAUAAAAAGAUGUUGGCUUUAUUCAUAGAAGAAAAUCUUAAUAUUGGCAUAAUAAUAAAAUACCUUUACAGUGGAUAAUAUAGCAAUAAGCAAGACACCUGGAAUAUUUUAUCUAACUAAAGUAAUACGGGAUAAGUAGAAAAAGCAAAAGAAAUGUCAUGGGAGACAGUGGUUAUAGUAAUUAGGCCCAGCUAUAUAUAGGGAGCUUGUCAUUUGGUUUGAGGGGAAUUUAGAGCCCACAUCUGAUUAUUUUCUUUCGUGAGGAUUAUCAUCAGUGUCUUCAGCUGAGCCUCUGGAUUCUAGAAUAGCUUUUUCAGAAGACCUCUCAGAAUAUACUUUCUUUGGAUAAUUCAUACAUCAUUAUUAAAACACUUUCCUCAGUUUACACUGUUUCACCUACCUGAUAGCCUUGAGGAAAUACAACCCUGCAAGAUAAGUCCUGAGGCUAUUUGGCUUCCUGGAGACCAAGGAUUCUAAAACUUGAUAAGGGUAAUGACUUACAUUUGAACACUGCUUUGCAUUUUCACAUUGCUUUUUGCUAACACAAACUUAAACUUUGUUCAGUCAUGACACUGAACUGGUUUAGUCUCAUGUUGUAUCAUUAAUCGUAAUAUAAAUUAUGCAUUCUCAUUCCGCAUUUCAUUGCAAUACAAAAAUCUUAACCUCCUUGAGAUAUUGUAAUAGUUCCUCUAGAAAGACACAUCAUGGUAAUCUUGGUUAACACUUGCCCCUUAUGUGUACCCUAGUUUGAAAAGCAGACAUAUGUACUCUCAUUUGACUUUGUACACCUUAAAGGAAAUACCUACAAAUUCUGAUUAUUGGUUAAUAAUUCUGACUAUUGGUUAAUUUUAAAAAUGUAUAUGUUUUUUAGAGGAACCUGAGAGACUAACAGAACUCAGACUAAAUGGACAAAGUAUUUGGCAACUAAGCAUGCUUUUUUCACAAAACUGCAGUGUGAAUAUUUACUAUUUCAUAAUUCAGUCUCAGUAAUACAGGGGUUGGUUGGAGAACUGGGCGCUAAAUAAAUAUAGAGUUGGCAGGCCAGGAUCAGAAGCCGUAGUCAAUUUAAGCAGAAUGAUAGGGAGGACCCUGCACUCCAAAAUUAGAUUUAUUCAGGAGGGCUGUGUUCACGUAUCACCUUAAUAUUUUCACAAAUUGACUUUUUUUUUUUUAAUAUACACACUAUAUAUGUUAAGCAAUGAUAUCUACAGAAUUGCAGGUCUCAUGUGCCAACUGGGGUCUUUGUCUAAUUCAAGUUAAACAUAAGAAUUCUUAUUUUUAAACUUGCCAAACUAAAACUUAAAAUCAAUUUUGUAUACCUCAUCUGCACACUUUAGAAACACUAGCCAAGCAGAAGGAGUAGGGUUGUUGAAGGUUAACAGAUUGGAAUGCAAACUCCAGCUUCUCCACUCUUUAUAUAGUUAACCUUAGCAGCAUUCUGGACCUCUCUGAACCUCAGUUUACCCAUAUGUGAAAGAGUUGAAAGGUAAGCAGUCACAUUCCAGGCAUUCAUAAACACCAGCUAUUAAGCAAUCCUACAGCUAUACAUUGAGAACCCCUGGUCUUCAGGCUUACCCUGGAGAAUUCAUCACAGCUCUUCUCUCACAGAGACUGUGCAGACCCCCAGGAAACCCAGGCACCUCUAUUGAGGUCCAGGGCACUGACCCAUCUCUGGGAAUGCUGGCUGGGGUGUAUGCAUAGGUGGGCAGGCAGCAUUGAGUUCCCCGGACCCUGAGGACUGUAGCUGUCAGUCACUACAGGGGUCCAUCUGUAAAAAAGUUGAGUUACAGAUAAACUUGUAACUUCUAGUUUCUUCUAAGACCAACAAAAAUGAUACCUGAUUCCUGCAUUUCAGAAUAUCUUGAUCUUCUGGAACUUACUUACAAAGAAAGUCACCUUUGAGUGUAAAAAAAGAUAAACUCAAGGCAGUUUUACUCAUCUGUUGAAGACUUGACCUGAACUCAAGUGAUCCUCCCACCUCAGACUCCCACAUAACUGGGACUACAGGAGUAUGCCACCAUGCCCGGCUAAUUUUUUUUUUCUUUCUUUCUUUUUUUUUUUUUUGUGAACCAGAGUCUCACUCUGUUGCCCAGGCUGGAGUGCAGUGGCGCGUUCUCAGCUCACUGCAACCUCUGCCUCCUGGGUUCAAGCGGUUCUCCUGCCUCAGCCUCCUGAGUAGCUGGGACUACAGGUGCCCGCCACCGUGCCUGGCUAAUUUUUUGUAUAUUAGUAGAGAUGGGGUCUCACUGUGUUGCCCAGUCUGAUCUCAACUCGGCUCAAACGCCCUGGCCUCUCAAAGUGCUGGGAUUACAGGCAUGAGCCACUGCACCCACCCCAUAAUACUAUUCAUUCCUUGAACACAUACAUACUUUUUACUAAUUUAGGAGAAAAAAUAGGGUAAUCCUUACCAAAUUACUCAAAAUCUUAUCUUUAAAGACAUGCUGCUUUAUUCCUUUUAAAUAUAUAAAGUAGGCCAGGCACGGUGGCUCAUGCCUAUAAUCCCAGCACUUCGGGAGGCCGAGGCGGGUGGAUCACGAGGUCAGGAAAUCAAGACCAUCCUGGCUAACACGUGAAACCCUGUCUCUACUAAAAAUACAAAAAAUUAGCCAGGCGUGGUGGCGGGUGCCUGUAGUCCCAGCUACUCGGGAGGCUGAGGCAGGAGAAUCGCUUGAACCCGGGAGGCAGAGGUUGCAGUGAGCCGAGACCGUGCCACUGCACUGCAGCCUGGGUGACAGAGCAAGACUCCGUCUCAAAAAAAAAUUAUAUAUGUAGUAUAUAUGUAAAUAUAUAUGUAGUAUAUAUGUAUAUAUAUAUAGUAUAUAUGUAAAUAUAUAUAAAUUGAAGAGCUAACAAAAUGUAGUCAAAUAGUGGUUUUACUGGCCAUACUUCUAAUGAUUUGUAUGUAAAUUAAUUCUGGUAAGUUUUUAGAUUGUUCAAGAACAGUUGUUUUUCCUGUUUAUUUAUAUUAUCCACAAUGGGUUUUUGUUUAUCUGUAUUUUAUUCAGAGUUCCUUGGUUUGAACCUGGUGUCCUGUUCCAGGCAUCCAGCCAGGAUACUACAUUAUGUUUAGUCAUUGUGUGUUCUUAGGCUCCUCUUGGCUGUACUAGUUUCUUAGAAUUUCCUCGUUUUUGAUUGUCUGGACAUGAUGAUCUUGACAGUUUUGAGGAAAAGUGGUCAGGUAUUUUGUAGAAUGUCCCUCAUAUGAUAAAAAGUUUUUUAGUUCUUUGUGCAUUUCUUGCCCCCACUAACACAAAAUAGACUGUGAAAGUGCCAUUAUUAAAGAUACAUUAAAGUAUGAGAGAAAGAUAAAUUCUUAUAAGAAUCUGGGAAGGCUUUUCAUCACAAGUAAUGUUGUCCAUGAAGUAAUUAGUUGUGUUUGUGAUAGAAUAGGGGGUGUCACGUGAAAAUCAAGAGUGCAGGUCAUGUUCUAGUAACAGACUAAUAGAAUUGCAAUGUGAUGCGAGUAAGGUGCAAUUAGAAGUAACAGUGUUAAAGUUUGGCAGGGGCCUGAGAGCUUUUUUCCCUCCUGACACCAAAUAAAUGGUAUCUUUUCCAACAACACUUCUCUAACUCUCUGACAUCAACUAUGUGUCCUACAAUUCUGACACUAACUACCCAGAAUUAGGAUCAGAUUCCACAGAUUCAAGGGCUCAGUCCUACAAGAUUGCCCUCAUUUCUGAUGCCAGUUGCAAGUAUUAGGCCCCCAGAUUAGUCAGGCAUUCUCCCAAUACUUCCUCAGACUUGAUAAUUUACUAGAA